UAAAUGUCCAACUACAAGCCUGAAGCCUGCUUAAGGGAAAUACAGGCAUAACUUUUAAAGUAGCACUUUAGUUAAUACUCUGCAUCCUGAUAUAAGAAGGAUUUAAUCCUGCAUACAGAUCUGUGAUGGUGUUACAGUCUUCACCAGUGUAACACUAUUCUGGUGGACUAUACCUGCAGGCUCCAAAAAACCUUCCCUUGGCCUUUCAAACAAACUGUGCCUUUAAAGAGGCUUGUAAGCCUGCCUCCACAGCUGUGUGAUCCUGAUCCGAUCCAUCGAGCGCGAAGAGGAAGCUGUUUGAUUGUUGAGCAGGCUCCAUCCAUUCCCGCCCUGACCACAGACACGCAGGUUACAGUGUCCCUGUCUGCCUUAUCUCCUGGUGCACCGGCUCGGCUUCAGACCCACGGCUCCGGCCCGGCCCCUGCUCAAGAUAAAGCCCAAAAUAGACCACUCUCGCUGACAGCACGGCAGCGCUAGAUAAGGCUGUUGUGUCCACAGCUUUGAGCAAGAAAUGGGUAGGAGAGGGAGGGGAGAAAAGGUUGGUGUGCAGGAGAGAGACAGUAAGCAAAAUAAUGUUGUAGUGAAUGCAUGGUGUUGAUCGGGUUUUGUUGCUAGUGCUUGCCCUUUGACCCUCUUAUUCAACCACAGAUAAGAGAAGUCACGGUUAUAGAAAUGCACAAAUCUGUUUUCCCUCUCUCUUUUCUCACAGUUGAGGCCAUUGAUUGUGUUUAUUGACCCACGUAGUUGAAGCCCCAGCCAAUUUGGUCAUCAUGGCUUACAGCGAUAAGAAAAUGACCCAGCACCGAGUGCACCCCUACGUGUGUGCUUGUGCUCGUGCUCAUAUGUGUGCAUCUUUUUUAUUGUCUAUUCCAGCUUGCCUAUAGCUUAUUAUUCAGCCUCCGCCAGAUGGCAAACUGCAAAAGUGCAUCUAAAAAGGUUUUCCUCCGCUGGCAUGCAGAAGCCAAUCAAUAGCUGUGUGUCUUAGUAAAUUAGAUCAUGUAGACAAGAGGCAGUAGUCAGCAGAGCCAUCCCAAAGUAACCCCUUGCCUGGUUAGUUCAUUCUCCAUUAGACAACAGCCUGGAGUAAUUGAAUUGGCCUGUACAAUCUCAGGGCUUGGCCUUCACUUUUUCGCCUUUGACAGCAUAUAUUCAGGUCUGAUAACUUAAUACCCCAGCCAAGAACCAAUGUACAAGUAUUUUUAUAUAUCCAUUGAUAGUGUAGCGGUUAAGACCCUUACAAUUAGAACCACAUGUACCCUAGCUUCUUGUCAGAAGCCUGCACAUUGUCUCCUUCAGACAAAAAUGCCAUGGGGAGGUGCCUGAAUAUGAUGUUGCAAGAUUAACAAACAUUUUUACAAACUUAACCUACCACCCUCUAAAACCAUUUUAUUCAUACAUGCAUCACUUUUGUGUUAAAUGAUGUGACAAAUAAACGACAGACCUCGAGCUCUGUGGGCUGCCAAACUUAAUAAGAGAUGUCUCGCUUCUCUUGUUAUUUGGGGGUAAAUAAGUCGUUAUGGCAAUGAUGAGAUGCAAGCUAAUUAUCCGCCCCAAGCCAAUCAAUGACAAAGCCAAGCUUCACUAUAGAACAAGCAUUAUAGUCAGAGAAAGAAAGAGGGAGUAAGAGUAAAAUUUGCACAUGAAGAAUUUUUUAAAAGGGCUGCUGAUGAAGAGUUUUGGGGUCUUUCGGUUCACAAAGUUAUACUCUAAUAUUAAGCAUUAAAAGCAUAGAGGCUAAUUAGGACACCAUUAAUACUUAUAUCCCUGUCUGCCACCCCACCCCCCACCCCGCCUCAUUAUUCCAUAAAUUCUGUAUCUGUUGCCGGCAGACAAAAAAUGCAAUUUAUCCAUUUUUAUAUCCAUUACAUGGUGGUACUCCACUAAAGCACUUACAUAUACAUAAUUACAGAAAUACAGGACAAGCACAGGCUUGAAACCCCUGAGAAAAUCAUAUUAUCCUACAAUCGCACACCACUCUAUAACCUGUAUCGCUACAUUAAUGCAUCAAAUGGUUUAAUUUCUGUCCUUGCAUGUAUAUGCUGUUUGUCAGUGCUUGCAACACAGUUAACACUUGCUACAGUGGUUACACUUUGGCCCAAGGUAAAUAUAGUCCUCUACAGUUUUUCAAUGACCAACUCCAUUUAAGCAUUGGCAAGCAGAAGCUAACAAAAGUGUUAAAAAACAAAAACUAAAAAAAUUUCUCAUCAUCUUUCCCCUCUUGUAUUUUUCAAACUGCCAACCUUUCAGGCAUGAGCACAUGCAAUGUUUUUUUUCCACUUGUGCAUGAGGCUUGUGUACUUAUAGCUGCACUGAGGUAGGGCUGGUGUUAGCUCAGAUGGAAAACAAGCAAAUGUUUCGUUAGGAGAAAGCAUGAUGAAGUAUUUAGGCCUCUUUAUUCUGGAUUGCAUCUGUUAGUGGGCUUUUCUUAGUCUAGCACGCAAGCUGCAUUACAACUUUACAUUUGCAUCAAUCCAUUUCAAGGAUGCACACUAACCCUCAAUAUUACAUUUUGUAAAUGAAAGUUACCUGCUGUUGUCACUGUUUGAAGGUGGCCUUUAAUUACUAAACAAGAAUUCAUAAAAGCUCCUAUCUAUAUAUUCUUACUUGCAUGUUUAUAUUUAUCUAUCUAAUCUACGUACUCAUUGUUGUCCCUUAAGAUACAAAUCAUUGUGUCAAAGCACUGGAGUUGUUUAAACCCAAAACACAGGGAUCAGGUGGCCUAUUUCUUACUGUUAAAAUCACAAAGUGGAAAUUUUCAUCAUGCAACAUAAUUGCUUCAGGAGAGUCCCAUCACGCAGCUCUAAAACGGGAACAACAAAAUCUGCUGUCUCAACAUGCAAACCAUGGGAAAGUAUCAGCCGAGUAGUUUUCUUCAGCAACUGCGAGUGUCUUCUGCGACAAAAACAUCCAGUGGUGUAUGUGGCCAUAAUCCCAUGUGACAUGGGCGGUCAAGGGGAAGGGAUUGGAGGGCUUGGAGAAAAAGACAGAGCAUGGCAACGCUGAGCAAGAGGGAGGGAGAGGGACAGACAGAAUAAGAAAGAGAGACUUCCCCUGUCCUUUUUCCUUGCAGAAAGACACUUGUGUCGGAUACAAGGUAAUGCUCCCAUUUAUAUCUCCCUUUAAAAGGCCCCUGGAAACAUGAGCGGGGACCCCAUGCACCAAGACGGGGAGGAGGAUUCUUGGUUAAAAUUCAUUUAAUUCAUUCCCUUCAUUUGGUCCACUUUGUUCAGUGGCAAGCUACUACCUGAACUUGCAGAGAUAGUUGGCCAAACACAGAUUAAAGCACAGCACCGCAAGGGAACACAUCUAAUACUGGAGCUUCACUCUGUCUGAGCUGCUGCAUGGGAGUUUGGCUUAGUGUGUUCAAACAGUGAAGUGUGGCAAUAAAGCCAUACUAUAGCUAGGCUAGGAUAAGCCCAUUUCUAAUCCUAUCCAAUAUCUCCAUAUAGCCCAGCUGUCAAACAGUACAGGGGACAUACAGUAACUGCUGCUCUUUUGUUUAUCACUCCAUCUCUCCCUGUCCCUCUCUCCCUCCAUUUCUCUUUGAUAAUGGCGGCCUCAGCGCAGGAAUCUGCCGCCAUCCAUUCCAAGCAGCAGGUAAUGGAUUGAGUGCGGGACCUGAUCUGGCUAUGGAUGAGCCAGCCCGUAGGUGUCUGAGUGGGCGUUCAAAUGGAUUCAGAGAAGCUCGCCUAGAAUAACACACUUUGUCACCGCAAGCUUUGUCUUCACAGAUCUUCCAUGUUCACUGUCAGUGCUGCCCCCACCCCCACCCUACCCCAUCCCUCUCUUCAAAGACAAAAACUCUUUAAAACAAGACAGCGGUGUGCCAACGUCUCACUGUCUGACUGGUUAAGGGACAUUUUGAUAUUGUCAGGAUGCUUCUCCUUAAUCCCAGCAAUGUUGCACAAGCACACUGCUCUACUUCUCACUUUGAUCACUGUUUUUAACAAAGGGACACAGAAACAGAUCAAGAGGAUUGUAGAACCGACGCCAAUGUCACGCUACUAAUGCUGAAAAUCAUAAAUUGUCCAAACAAGAACGUUCUCAGCUGUGAUUCUGGCAGCUAAUACAUAUUGUGCUGCAAGUGGUUGUAUGCCGUCACUGAGGAGCAGAGUAAAUGAUUCCAAAAACCACAGGGAUGUUGCAAUCUCCACAGAGUCCUUACAGAUACCUGGAAACCAAUAUAAACCAACAUCUGGUAAUGAAUUAUGGAUGGAGAUGAAAUGCAUGUACUCGGCCAGGCUCUCUACAGGGGUUGUUAUUUACAGUCUCGCAGAAAUAUGCUUCCCAUCAUGGCUGGUGGAAUUUGCUACAUGACGUGUGGUAUUGUGCGCUGUGAUAUACAGUUAUGGAUUACUUCAAAGCCAUAAAAUACAUAAACUGAGAUGAUAUGUUCUGGAGGAAUAUUUCUAGUCACAUCUCAACAUUUAUAAAACUUGAUUACACCUAAGUAUAUCUCUUUCUUCUAAUAUAAUUGCAUAUGUUUAUUUUCUAUGUGACAGGAGCCCAGGUAAUUAAAAUGUCUUUAUCUGUCGGAAUAACCUUUGUUGCCAGAAAAAUAUGGCCAAGCGCCAGAUGGAGAAAUAUGUUUAUGAAUACUUGUGUACAUAUGUGUGCACGCAUACAUGUUUACAUAUUUGCAUAUGGAUGUGCAGACUGGCAGUGUUCCCAAUUUCUGUGAGUGUGCGUGUGCUGGAGCAUGUGUGUGUGAGCGAGGGAUGAUGGAAGCGUGGUGACUCUGCCUGGAGGCAGCAGCCACCCCAUUGUGGGGGGUGAACACGAGGCCAGACACCUGUUUUUCCCAAAAUGAAUUAUGGAACGAAGCCAAGCGCGUGUUAUUCUCCACACAACUGACAACAGAGGCCAAGGCCAAAGACCUGAGGAGAGACAGAAUGAGGCUGGCAUUACAGAGAGUGCUAAACAAUAAGAUAUCCAGAGUAAGAAGGUAUGAAGGUUAUGAGUCCUUGUUUACUUUAAUAGACUCUCUUAUAAUGGGGGAUGGAAUUCUAAUAGACUUUUCCAUUGCAUGCUUUGCUUUGCGGCUGAUGCAACUCAAUUAAAAAAGAUGGAGAGAGCCAUUUAAAUCUUAUGAAAUAUUCAUUGUUUAUAGGCAGUUAUGUGUAGACAACUCAUGAAGUAAACAUUAUAACGACAGUGGAACUGUUGUUGUGGAGCAAAGCAUAUAUGACUCAUGAUAUAUUAUAUUAGCUGUUUUAACCCCCAACAUCAUGAACUCGGCAAUAGAAUACACUAGAAUUCAAUAUGAAUACACACAACUUCCAGCACAACAGAAUCAAUGAAUCAGCAUCAAAUUUGUUUUUGGAAAAACAACAUCAAAACAACUGCAAACUGGCUCUAAGAGACUUAUUACUCACCACGUCUUGUUUCAGCAGUAAAUACAUUUAUUUGGCUUCAUCUAUUCAUACCUGCAGCCUUCUAUUUAUUUACCUGUUCUAAUCUGACAUACAAAUUUCCUACAUAGCUCAUUUGUACAGUUUCCUCAACUUGUCAGGCUGCAACUACUUAUGUAAAAUUGAGGCACAGCUCCUAAAAUGAGCAGGAAAUAGAAAGAGAGAGACAGCGUUUGGCUUUUACUGCAGUGUGUGGGCAGCUGUCGACUGCACCCAUGCACUAACCUGUGCCCGCUGAUGUCACACACGCCACCCAACCAUUGCGUCAGUCUCCAAAGAUGCCACUCUGAUAGCAAAUAGCAAGCCUUCUGGGCUGCAGAAGGCAUUUAGUCUCAUAUUUAGUCUUUACAUUUUUCUGAAGAUCUGUAAAAUGCUCUGCAAAUUUGGUGAGAUAACCCCACUUAUCUCCAUAUAAUGAGUCUGGAAAAUCCGCUCAUUUGCAAGGAAAAUUAUUUAAAUUACUGUAUGCCCCCCCAUAUGUUUAAGCUCUUUAAGAAACCUGGAUUUGAUGACACAGCAGACAUACAGUACAGUAUGUAUGCUUUUGCCUUCCAUAUAAGUGAACACUAAAGUGGAAACAGUACAUGGUUAAUGAACACACAUAUGCAAGGCUAGCACAAAUGCAUAUGGACAGGCAUACAGGGUAUAUACUGUCUGUACACAGGGAUUUCACAUAAACAUACACACACAAUAUAUACACAUAUGUCCACAUAUUAUCCUCCUUAGAGGCAACUGACCGUUUACCAAACCGCAUACCUCUUAGUUAUUGUUGCUACAUGUAUACUGCACAUACACAUAUACAGUAUAUAAUGAUAACUGUGGCAGAUUUACUACUAGAAAUUUUAAGGUUUUUUUUAAACAAAGUCGGUUUCUCAUUUCUAACCAACACCCACCUAACAGAUACAUUUGCAAAUUUUAUGGUCUGUAGCUAAGCUAAUAUUUGCUAACUAUCUGAGUUGGGUAAAUUAUUUCCAGCUGACUUGAUACACCAACUUAAUCAAUCAUGACAUAAAAACACUCCUUUCAUCAAAUAACUAAUUAAAACUACCACAUGAGGAUACAUAAGCAUGAUUACAAAUUACAGAAACCACUUUCGGUAACUGUACUGUGUACUUUUAUUUUAUUUUGUUUGGCCCUCGUCCCAUCUGCCAACAUGGAGGGAGGAUGGUAGUUAGCUGCACAUGCUAAUUCCAUUCCUUACAAAUUUGCUCCUGUGAUUUUGGUCUUGAAGAGGCUUAAAAAAGAGAAACACCACCCAACCAACACUUGAGCCCUUUACUCAUAACCCAUACACACUGCUUUGGCAUGUUCAGAAUCCAAAGCUUCACAGACUGGCUGUGCUAGUUAUGUUUGCUAAGAAGACUGGCCUAUCACAGUUCGGGGGAGGCAUUUAACGAACAGUCAAUUUUCUGGGGCAAAGUACAUCACAUCACAAACAGAUCCCUGAGGAUGUGAGCAUGAAGUGAUUUCCCUUUACAGUCAUACUGACUGUUAUAUAGAAAGGGUUACAUGGUGAGGACAUUGAGCUGCAUCAUCAGGAGAAUGUCUGUGGUUAUGUGGCUGAGGAUGGAUACAGUAAGUGGUAACAUUGAGAUAUGUGAAAGCCUUGCUGGGUUACCGUGGGGUCAAUUUACAGCAAAUAACUAUGAUCUUGCAUGACUUGAAUGAAUGAUGAUCCAGUGACUGAUUCUAUGUGUCAGGAGUCAUAAACUAUCAACACAUGACAGCAGUCUGAGUGAAAUUGAAAUACAUCUGUGAAUUUUGUCUUUAAAAUGCACUGUCUACAUGCUUUGUCACUUUAUGACAGGCAUGUCUGAUAGCGCCUGAGGUAUGUCCAAAGAGUUGCAGAGAAUUUUAUUUUCUAGAGUAAUUUGUUUCACCCAGGGUAUAAGGACAUCAGGCUCUAAGGGGUAGUUAGCGCUGUCCUUCUAAAUAUCAUCGUUCACACCUGGGGGUCACAGGCUCUGCACUGUCGACUCAAAGCACAUCAAAAGGGGAGCUCAAAAUACCAUUAGUAUUUCAUCAUUAAGUCGCAGAAAUACGCAGAAAUGUCAAUUUGCAUAGCCUGUCAUGGCCAGCCGGAGGGUGGCAGCGCGUCUGUCUGUCUCCCUGUAUAUUUGUCUAAAGACAGGAAGUGGUUGACAUACUCAGGAGGUGUGAAUUUCCUACCCAUGAUUAAUUUAGCCCUUCCUGUGGCGGCAGCCUGCCAUGAACGUUUCCUGGGCUCAAUUUAACUCUGAUCAACACAUUCACAGUGAAUGCCAUCUGGUGAUUCGAUUCUGACAAAUUACCCUUGUGUUGUGCUUGAUAACGCCUUGAAACCAGCGUGUUUAUUUUCCUUUGGUGGUUUUUUAUUGUGUAAGUGGGGGGGAAAUAUUGACCUGAGCUGACGGUAAAGUGAAACCGGACAAGCAGCAAUGCUAAAUAAGUUUGCCGUUCCUAGUCCUCUUCUCCUGGAGGGACUUGCAUUUGAUAUGUGUUGCUGAUGGUGCUGAAACUUCUCUGGCUUUGUAACUACUCACCUGAAGGUUUCCCUGCCACACAAGUCAGGCUAGAUUGGAGUUAUGCGAUUAGGAGUGGUGUUGAGUUUUAGCCAGGCAAAGCCUCUAGUGUACUGUUAUGUCUGCCUCUGCUUGUAUCAAGCAGCACCCAACCUCCAAGCCUUCUAGCCACCAACUUUAGGCUUCCUCCCUUCUCAUGUUGUUGUGUUCUCUGAAGAACAUUGAAGUCUUUGCUUUGCAGAAAAACAGCUCAGAGGAAACAUACAAACAUGCGUGGGCAAGACUGUACAGAUGUGCUCAUAUAGUACACUAAAUGUGCAUGCACACAUGAUGCGCCCAGGCUGAGUAAAUUGGCAGUGGUUUGCUUUCCAGGCAAGGUUGAAAUGAAAAUAUUCUGUGUGCAUUUGUCUACAGAACAGUAACCUCACUGAAGAUAAUCACCAAUUGAGAAAGAAGCCACUGCCAGCAGUGCUCCUGGUCUCUAACAAAUAUCUGUGGGGAGUUAAAUUGCAAUGUCUUUUCCUGUAAUGAUAAAACAUUAGAGUCUG